GUUAUAGAAACUCCAUCUGAGUCCAUUUAAUGAACUACAUGAAUCAGAGACCUGCAAUAAAGCCCAAUUAGAAACGAGUGCACAGGGAAUAUUGAUCUCCUUAAAACCUUUUACAGCUUUCAGGAUCUGCCUGGUCACUCGUCACUGGAGCAGGCACUGGCGCUUUCCUGCUGGCUCCCAUUCACUCACUUGCUAGGAUUAUGGUCGGAUUAAGAUGUGAUUGAACAGAUCAGCUGGUGGGAACUCUGAGGUAUGAGGGAGAGCCCCCAGAUAACCCUUCUCACACAUGUUCACAGUCCUCUGGGUCAGAUUUUACUGCAAAUUCAGAGGGAAUUUGUACAGCAGUGCCUGCUUUUUCUCUGAGCAACACCAAAAAAGCCGUCUGAGAUCUUCCUUUUUACUAAUGAACAUCUGGAGGCUCUUGAGCUCACAGAGGUCACAGCUGACAGCAUUACCAUGCAAAGCACACCCAUGAAAGGGUCUUCUGAACUCCCCUCACUCGACAUCUUCAGCCUUGUUUGCGGUAUAUUACAGGUAAGAACCCCUGUGGUAAUGAAGCACACAUUAUUCAAAUAAGGUAUUUGAAUAAGAUGUUUAAGAAGUGUGCGUUAAAGUGGAUUUGUGGCAUCCUAGCCAAAACACCACUCAAAGUCAGAUGAUUUCAGACUCUUCCAAGCUGCACUUCAGAUGAUGUAUGGUAUCCAGAAGCCCAUAUCCAAAGGGUGUAGGUGGGAUUUGAAUAAUUUUGGAUCAUUAGAUUUUUUUGAAUUAUAAAAGUCUCUGUUCAGUUGUGGUCCAAAGCUGGAUACACAUCAGAUAUGUACAUUUCAGUCUUCACAAUGCAGGAUCCGCUUCAACACCCACACAGAAGCACUCCAGCCUCAGCUGUGUUCAGACCACCUGUGUGAGUAAGUGCUAAGGGAAAUCAUAAACAAAGUGUUCCUGCAUUUUGCUUGAUUUGAUAAGCCUCCUCCAAACACAGCCAUAGCAAAUAAAUAGAAAGACAAGAGCCAAAGCUUUCUCUAUUUCUCCAAGCUGUAUAGGCUUGUCUGGGACUGGCAAGAGGGAUUAGAGGACAAAAUAGUGAAUGUCUUAUGAUGAGGGUCUUUUGAAAUCCUUGGUAUGGAAAAUCUGAGGAUGACCUGCACCAGAGGGAAAGUAAUUAUAGUUUUCUCGAAGCAGCUGGGAUAUUUACAGAAAGGUCUUUAGUUCCAGGCACUGUUCCAAAGGCUGUUUAUGAGCUUGAAAUUAAAUAGUUGCUGAAUAAAAAUGCAAAGUAAUUCCUGAAGUAAUCUUGGACUCCAGGCCUCGCUCCAGAGACCGAAAGAUCUUCAACCACUAGGUUAGAACCAUACACCAAGCUUUAUUAUGAAUUCCAAAGGAGAAGAGCUUUAGCAGGCAGAGCCAAGAGCAGCACCACCUUGAGAAACCCCAGUUUCCCAGAGUCUGUUUAUACUGCAUUGGUACAAGGGUGGGGGUGAUUCCUGACAGCCAUAUGAGGUACAGUGAGCAGCCCUCUCCUAUGGAUUUCCCCAGCAGGACUCUGUUCACGGUGGGAAAGCCACUGCACGAGCCUUGUGGCAGCCCUGGGGGAUUUCAGCAGGUGCUACAGAUGUCCCUGGACAAGGGGGCUCCAGCUGUGCUGGCAGCUGCUGGCCCUGCCAAGGGCUCUGGGAUGCUGCAAGUACCCACCAGUGACCCAGCUGUAUCCUGUUCUAACCUGGGAAAGAGAAGCUGCAAAGACAGAAGCCAAGUUUUCUACAAUCCUGCUGCUCCGGGCUAAACUCAUCUCUGAUUUGGGU
rnacentral:lncRNA from 1 species